UCAGAGGGACUUUCAGAACAGAGAUCCAGGUACAUGAGGCUGAGUGAGCUCCGAAGCCCCCUCUGAUCUGUGGGUUCCCCCCUUUUAUAAAAAAUAUUUAUUUAUAUAAUUGAAAGGCAGACUGAUAGGUUGGAGGGAGAGGUCUUGCAUCCACUAGUUCAUUCCCCAAAUGGCUACAACAGCCAAAGACAGGCCAGCCCGAAGCCAGGAUCCAGGAACUCCGUGCAGGUCUCCCAUGUGGGUGACAGGGACCCGAAGCCAGGAUCCAGGAACCCCGUGCAGGUCUCCCGUGUGGGUGGCAGGGACCCGAAGCCAGGAUCCAGGAACCCCGUGCAGGUCUCCCGUGUGGGUGACAGGGACCCGAAGCCAGGAUCCAGGAACCCCGUGCAGGUCUCCCGUGUGGGUGGCAGGGACCCGAAGCCAGGAUCCAGGAACCCCGUGCAGGUCUCCCGUGUGGGUGACAGGGACCCGAAGCCAGGAUCCAGGAACCCCGUGCAGGUCUCCCGUGUGGGUGACAGGGACCCGAAGCCAGGAUCCAGGAACCCCGUGCAGGUCUCCCGUGUGGGUGACAGGGACCCGAAGCCAGGAUCCAGGAACUCCGUGCAGGUCUCCCAUGUGGGUGACAGGGACCCGAGUACUUGGGUCCUCACCUGCUGCUUCCACAGGUGCACCAGUGGGGAGCCGGGUUGGAAGCAGAGCAGCCGAGACUUGAACCCACGCUCUGAUAGGGGAUGCUGUGUUGCCCACGGCAGCCUACCCCACUGCGCCACAGCCCGGGCCAUGGUUCCCUUUCCCAAACUUUCUGUUUGCCACAGUCGGCCUCGGUCCGAUAAUGUUCCGUGGCAGAAAUACAUGAUCCCGAGUGGUCAGCUGUGCCCAGCUUUGCAUGCCACUGUCCUGGGUGUGGACCAUCUGUGCAGCGUGUCCACGCGGUGUACACUACCCUCCUGUUCCUCACUUGGUGGCUGCCCUUGUCACCAGGCCCGUUGUUGAAGGAUGGCGCUGCUAUGUUCAGACAGCCCUCGCUCGGCAGUGGCCCCAGAGUGCCAGAGGUGUGGUGUUUGCCGUGCCGUGAGAUCAUUGGUUCUGGCCCUGCCCGAGCAACCACAGGCGGGACUUGGAGUCCAGUAGGUAUGCAGCAGGCUGAAUAUUAAGUUGAGAGUUUUGUACGGCCUGCGAUGAUGUUGUAAACCUGCAGAGGACCCUGGGCGGGGAAGAGGAGUGCCCACCCCUGCAAGUGCAAGGUGAAUGCUCGGACCUAGCACGGAAGGGGAGGUAGCUGGACGCUGAGGUUGCUGGGACGGGUGGAAGGAACUGACCCUGGACUCUGUGAACUCGUGGA